UACCUUAGUAUAUGUGACUCCCAAAAACUCUAAGAAUUUAUUCAAAGGUGCUCGCUUGUCAGAAAACUUUUAAAAGCGUGUGAUAUUCUUCCUGGGGGUGUAUAUGAACAGAUUUUGAUAUGAUUUCAUGUUGCCAAAAUGCUGUCAAUUCCACUUUAAUGCAUAUUGCAAUUGGUGGACAAAAUCCAUGGUAGUUAGUCAAGGCCAUUAUGGAGGAUAUUGUUGUGAAAUUUACAUGUUUGUUAACUUUUUUUUCAUGAAUGCAACUUUUGUUAUUCUCACUGUAAAUAUACAUUGUUGUCCUAUCUCUAGUGAUAAGCUACAGUGAUAAGCUACAGCUACGGUAUUUCCCAACUCAACAUGGCACUUGACUGAAUUACACAUUUCAUUCACAAGAAACUCUUUCUUCCUCUUUACCCAAUAAGAUACACAGCCCAGAGAGCUGAAGGGUUUAGCACUAUCUGGUCUAACAAUACUGUGGGUGUGGGUGGGUGUCCGUCCUAUCGCUCUUCCCUCCUCAGAGACAGCAAAGACAACUGCCCCCAAUUUAACCCCAGCUGUCCCCACCCACCCAACCUCACCUCGUCACAAUCCACAACAAGCCUCAAGGGUCAGGGUUCACUAAGCCCUGCCACCCACCCCCCCAUCAUGCCCGGUGUGUGUCAGUCAGGUCUUUUUUCCAGACCCCCCCCCCCCCCCCCUCCCCACAUACACACAGUCCUAACACGUGUAGCUGUGUGUCAGUCAUGUCUUUCCAGACCCCCCCCUCCCCACAUACACACAGUCUAACACGUGUAGCUGUGUGUCAGUCAUGUCUUUCCAGACCCCCCCCUCCCCACAUACACACAGUCUAACACGUGUAGCUGUGUGCAGUCAUGUCUUUCCAGACCCCCCCCCCCUCCCCCACAUACACACGUCAACACGUGUAGCUGUGUGUCAGUCAUGUCUUUCCAGACCCCCCCCCCCACAUACACACAGUCUACACGUGAGCUGUGUGUCAGUCAUGUCUUUCCUUCCAGACCCCCCCCCUCCCCACAUAACACAGUCUAACACGUGUAUGUGUGUCAGUCAUGUCUUUCCAGACCCCCCCCCCCUCCCCACAUACACACAGUCUAACACGUGUAGCUGUGUGUCAGUC
rnacentral:lncRNA from 1 species